AAUUACUCCAGUGACGACGGGAGGCGUGUACAGUAGGCUGAUGCAUGUGUUCAAGAUGCUGUCGGCCAGAAACAGAAACAUCCAGGCUGCUACAACAAGAACAGCAACAUCGGGAACAACGACAACAACAACAACGGAAGAGCCAGCGGAAGAGGAGGAAUCGGAGGAGGCUGGCGGUUCCCAGGAUUAUGAAUACGAAUAUUGAUCCUCUCUGAAGAUACUUGGCCAACAGAGGAUUAUAUUUGACGAGGUCAACAAAGUCAGUGCUACAAUGGUCACAUUUGAUGGUCCAUUGGUAUUUGUGAUCAGAUGCAAGGAUGAUGUUCCGAGGACAAAGCGUUUUGUCUCAUGAACAUACAUUCAUUUUGUUUAAAAAUGUUUUGUUAAAUGGAUAAGAGCCUCGUUCUUACACAUUAGAACACAUCCCUCUGUAAUCAAAAUGCAAUUACUCGGUAAAACAUUACGAAAACAAAAGCUGACAGUAAAUCGAAAUCAAACCGUUUGUUGUUAUUGUCAAGUGCUGCUCUAAUAGUAGUUCACUGUUUUUGUGGGCAGAUCAGAAAUGCCCUUUUGGAGAAUCGGUAAAGUUAUCACCGCUCUUCGAUCAUCAAUGUCGUGAAUAGGUAUGGACAACAUAUAUGUAAAUAGUAGCACGGACGUUAGUGCGAAUUUCCACAAGCACACUACGGUUUUAAGAAAUAACGUGCAUAAGUUAUAAUUUAGUCUAUUACAUGCAUAAGUCUCGUACAUAAUCAUAAUACUUAUUAAUUUAUUUACAUCAUUGCUAUGUAUUUUUCAUGGCACAACAGGCAAAUGUCACUGUGUAUGCAUACGAGACACUUGAUAUGCAAUUUAUAUACGUAUUUUUGAAGACAAUUGUUUGAUUGUGUAGUCAUAAUUUAUUAAUUGUAAUUGUAUUUACAUGACGUUUGACGUUCGUGUUUGUGAGCGCGUGUA